UACGAAGGGGGCUAGCGUUGUUCGGAAUUACUGGGCGUAAAGCGCACGUAGGCGGGUUGUUAAGUCAGGGGUGAAAUCCUGGAGCUCAACUCCAGAACUGCCUUUGAUACUGGCAACCUAGAGACUGGAAGAGGUUAGUGGAAUUCCCAGUGUAGAGGUGAAAUUCGUAGAUAUUGGGAAGAACACCAGUGGCGAAGGCGGCUAACUGGUCCAGCACUGACGCUGAGGUGCCGAAAGCGUGGGGAGCAAACAGGG
rnacentral:rRNA from 1 species